AUUUCUUUUUCACUUUGCAACAAUUACUUUUCACUUCCGACUUGAACGUACAAGGAAAAGCUGGAAUCCAAAAUAUCUCCCUUUAUCGCCGCAUCAAAUAUGAAUCAAUUAGAGAGACAACAACGUUGGCGCGCAAGAGAAAUCAAUACACGGAGAGAGAAGCAGCUGCCGCUUACAGGUGUGGUUAGAGCAACAGCAACACACACAAAGAGCGAGCUGGCCAGCAUCUAGCAAGGUAAACAUGAUCUUUUCAAGGCACACAUGAACCAAGCACACCAUACUGGCACACGACCAUAGUGACGGACAGCCGCAGUAGAACUUCAUGGAACAUCUCGGAAGAUGACGUAUAGAUGUUGUGGGAUUUCAUGGAAUGUCUCUGAAGCCAUGCACAAAUUUGACUGUCAAAACAAUAUUUAUGCAUAAAGUUGAAUUGGAGCCAUGAACAAACAAUAGCUGGAUUUUUACCUGUUCCCAGCAGCAGCAGGGGCAAUUGGCGGG
rnacentral:lncRNA from 1 species